rnacentral:rRNA from 1 species
GAUGAACGCUGGCGGCGUGCCUAAUACAUGCAAGUCGAGCGAACAGACGAGGAGCUUGCUCCUCUGACGUUAGCGGCGGACGGGUGAGUAACACGUGGAUAACCUACCUAUAAGACUGGGAUAACUUCGGGAAACCGGAGCUAAUACCGGAUAAUAUAUUGAACCGCAUGGUUCAAUAGUGAAAGACGGUUUUGCUGUCACUUAUAGAUGGAUCCGCGCCGCAUUGGCUAGUUGGUAAGGUAACGGCUUACCAAGGCAACGAUGCGUAGCCGACCUGAGAGGGUGAUCGGCCACACUGGAACUGAGACACGGUCCAGACUCCUACGGGAGGCAGCAGUAGGGAAUCUUCCGCAAUGGGCGAAAGCCUGACGGAGCAACGCCGCGUGAGUGAUGAAGGUCUUCGGAUCGUAAAACUCUGUUAUUAGGGAAGAACAAAUGUGUAAGUAACUACGCACGUCUUGACGGUACCUAAUCAGAAAGCCACGGCUAACUACGUG